rnacentral:rRNA from 1 species
CAUUUUAGUUUGCUUGCAACUAAAGAUGGCGACCGGCGCACGGGUGAGUAACACGUAUCCAUUCUGCCGACAACACUGGGAUAGCCUUUCGAAAGAAAGAUUAAUACCGGAUGGCAUAGUUUUCCCGCAUGGGAUAAUUAUUAAAGAAUUUCGGUUGUCGAUGGGGAUGCGUUCCAUUAGGCAGUUGGCGGGGUAACGGCCCACCAAACCUACGAUGGAUAGGGGUUCUGAGAGGAAGGUCCCCCACAUUGGAACUGAGACACGGUCCAAACUCCUACGGGAGGCAGCAGUGAGGAAUAUUGGUCAAUGGACGAGAGUCUGAACCAGCCAAGUAGCGUGAAGGAUGACUGCCCUAUGGGUUGUAAACUUCUUUUAUACGGGAAUAAAGUGAGUCACGUGUGGCUUUUUGUAUGUACCGUAUGAAUAAGGAUCGGCUAACUCCGUGCCAGCAGCCGCGGUAAUACGGAGGAUCCGAGCGUUAUCCGGAUUUAUUGGGUUUAAAGGGAGCGUAGGCGGGUUGUUAAGUCAGUUGUGAAAGUUUGCGGCUCAACCGUAAAAUUGCAGUUGAUACUGGCGACCUUGAGUGCAACAGAGGUAGGCGGAAUUCGUGGUGUAGCGGUGAAAUGCUUAGAUAUCACGAAGAACUCCGAUUG